CCUACGGGGUGCAGCAGUGAGGAAUAUUGGUCAAUGGACGAGAGUCUGAACCAGCCAAGUAGCGUGAAGGAUGACUGCCCUAUGGGUUGUAAACUUCUUUUAUAUGGGAAUAAAAUGUUCCACGUGUGGGAUUUUGUAUGUACCAUAUGAAUAAGGAUCGGCUAACUCCGUGCCAGCAGCCGCGGUAAUACGGAGGAUCCGAGCGUUAUCCGGCUUUAUUGGGUUUAAAGGGAGCGUAGGUGGAUUGUUAAGUCAGUUGUGAAAGUUUGCGGCUCAACCGUAAAAUUGCAGUUGAAACUGGCAGUCUUGAGUACAGUAGAGGUGGGCGGAAUUCGUGGUGUAGCGGUGAAAUGCUUAGAUAUCACGAAGAACUCCGAUUGCGAAGGCAGUUCACUGGACUGCAACUGACACUGAGGCUCGAAAGUGUGGGUAUCAAACAGGAGUCGAUACCCCUGUAGUC
rnacentral:rRNA from 1 species